rnacentral:rRNA from 1 species
UGGGACUGAGACACGGCCCAGACUCCUGCGGGAGGCAGCAGUGGGGAAUAUUGCGCAAUGGGCGAAAGCCUGACGCAGCGACGCCGCGUGGGGGAUGACGGCCUUCGGGUUGUAAACCUCUUUUACCACCAACGCAGGCUCCGGGUUCUCUCGGGGUUGACGGUAGGUGGGGAAUAAGGACCGGCUAACUACGUGCCAGCAGCCGCGGUAAUACGUAGGGUCCGAGCGUUGUCCGGAAUUAUUGGGCGUAAAGAGCUCGUAGGCGGCGUGUCGCGUCUGCUGUGAAAGACCGGGGCUUAACUCCGGUUCUGCAGUGGAUACGGGCAUGCUAGAGGUAGGUAGGGGAGACUGGAAUUCCUGGUGUAGCGGUGAAAUGCGCAGAUAUCAGGAGGAACACCGGUGGCGAAGGCGGGUCUCUGGGCCUUACCUGACGCUGAGGAGCGAAAGCAUGGGGAGCGAACAGGAUU